CUAUACAAACCAGUAGCAUCUGUCUUUUUUGAAGUCUAGUUUUUGACAUAUUGGAAGAAUUCUUUUAAUUUUAAAAGUUUUGUGCGGAAAAAAUAUAGAGGAAAAAUAAUUGAAUCAUGUUGGAAAAAUGAUACAAAUUUAUCACAUGGAAUCGAUUAGGAUCCUAGCUGAUGGUUCGCAUAUCGCAUUUCCGAUCAUUUGUCCCCGCAUUAACAACAAUUCGAGAGGAUUUAAUACUUAAGUCCCCCAGCACCAUCAUUGACAAUAAGCAUCAAAGGGAGAAUCCACCUGUAACAGAUAAUGGGGAAGGAGAUAAUACCGAGCAAAUUGGUGAGACACUUGAUAAUCCAACUCAAGCUCUGAACCCAAUGAAAAAUGGUUAGCCUGCCAGCACAGUUGCCCCUGUUGUGAAAAAGCCAUUGCAAAGUAAGAAAUUGUUUUGGUAUCAAAUGAUCGAGUAAUUUAAUUCAAUGCUACGAAUCUCUUGAAUAAAUGGACGAUUCGUUGCAUCUAUCUAUGAAACGAGAUUUCUCAGUUCUAUUAUCUGAUCGUGGAGUACAAAUCAGUUUUAUAAAAGAUAAUAAGAGUACCUACCUGGUUCUCAAUUAACAUACACUUAACUUGAAUAUGGAAACAAUUGAGGAUUUGGGAAAAGCCAUCAACACAUUUGCGGGUGGAGUGAUUUUAGAUCCUCACAACGAAAGACUAAACAAGUUGUUUGCAAAGAUUUUUUGGUAUGCGGCAUACAUCAGGUUCAGAAAGUAAAAAUUAAACCUGUUGAAUUAGCCGACAAUAAAUCAAAAUUAAGGAAAUUACAUCAAGAACUAGAGUAGAAAUUAGAAGCUUUAUCUGAGGCCAAAGAGGAAAAGAACACAAGGGCGAAGAUGUUUUUUAAAAUUCUCUGGAAGAAAAUAAAAAGCAUCAGGAUACAAACAAUUCACGACAAAAAUCAUACGAGCGUCAAAGCCAAGAAAGAGAAGUUGA